rnacentral:rRNA from 1 species
UGGUCCUCGAGUUGCAGACUCCAAUCUGGACUACGAUAGGCUUUUUGAGAUUCGCAUCACAUCGCUGUGUAGCUGCCCUCUGUACCUACCAUUGUAGCACGUGUGUAGCCCUGGUCGUAAGGGCCAUGAUGACUUGACGUCGUCCCCGCCUUCCUCCAGUUUGUCACUGGCAGUAUCCUUAGAGUUCCCGGCCAAACCGCUGGUAACUAAGGACAAGGGUUGCGCUCGUUGCGGGACUUAACCCAACAUCUCACGACACGAGCUGACGACAGCCAUGCAGCACCUGUAUUCUAAUUCCCGAAGGCACUCCCGCAUCUCUGCAGGAUUCUAGAUAUGUCAAGACCAGGUAAGGUUCUUCGCGUUGCAUCGAAUUAAACCACAUGCUCCACCGCUUGUGCGGGCCCCCGUCAAUUCAUUUGAGUUUUAACCUUGCGGCCGUACUCCCCAGGCGGUCUACUUAUUGCGUUAGCUGCGUCACUAAGUCCUCAAGGGACCCAACGACUA